rnacentral:misc_RNA from 1 species
GAUGAAGAACGCAGCGAAAUGCGAUAAGUAAUGUGAAUUGCAGAAUUCAGUGAAUCAUCGAAUCUUUGAACGCACAUUGCGCCCGCCAGCAUUCUGGCGGGCAUGCCUGUUCGAGCGUCAUUUCAACCCUCGAGCCCCCCCGGGGCCUCGGUGUUGGGGGACGGCACACCAGCCGCCCCCGAAAUGCAGUGGCGACCCCGCCGCAGCCUCCCCUGCGUAGUAGCACACACCUCGCACCGGAGCGCGGAGGCGGUCACGCCGUAAAACGCCCAACUUUCUUAGAGUUGACCUCGGAUCAGGUAGGAAUACCCGCUGAACUUAAGCAUAUCAAUAAGCGGAGGA